rnacentral:rRNA from 1 species
UACGUAGGGGGCUAGCGUUGUUCGGAUUUACUGGGCGUAAAGGGCGCGUAGGCGGCGUAUCAAGUCGAACGUGAAAUCCCCGGGCUCAACCCGGGAACUGCGUCCGAUACUGGCAGGCUUGAAUCCGGGAGAGGGAUGCGGAAUUCCAGGUGUAGCGGUGAAAUGCGUAGAUAUCUGGAGGAACACCGGUGGCGAAGGCGGCAUCCUGGACCGGCAUUGACGCUGAGGCGCGAAAGCCAGGGGAGCAAACGGG